CAGCCGCCGCGGGAAUACGUAGGUGGCAAGCGUUGUCCGGAAUUAUUGGGCGUAAAGGGCUCGCAGGCGGUUUCUUAAGUCUGAUGUGAAAGCCCCCGGCUCAACCGGGGAGGGUCAUUGGAAACUGGGAAACUUGAGUGCAGAAGAGGAGAGUGGAAUUCCACGUGUAGCGGUGAAAUGCGUAGAGAUGUGGAGGAACACCAGUGGCGAAGGCGACUCUCUGGUCUGUAACUGACGCUGAGGAGCGAAAGCGUGGGGAGCGAACAGGAUUAGAUACCCCCGUAGUCCCUGUCUCUUAUCC
rnacentral:rRNA from 1 species